GAGUUUGAUCAUGGCUCAGAUUGAACGCUGGCGGCAUGCCUUACACAUGCAAGUCGAACGGCAGCACGGGAGCUUGCUCCUGGUGGCGAGUGGCGAACGGGUGAGUAAUGCAUCGGAACGUAUCCUGGAGUGGGGGAUAACGUAGCGAAAGUUACGCUAAUACCGCAUAUUCUGUGAGCAGGAAAGCGGGGGACCUUCGGGCCUCGCGCUCUUGGAGCGGCCGAUGUCGGAUUAGCUAGUUGGUGAGGUAAAGGCUCACCAAGGCGACGAUCCGUAGCAGGUCUGAGAGGAUGAUCUGCCACACUGGAACUGAGACACGGUCCAGACUCCUACGGGAGGCAGCAGUGGGAAUUUGGACAAUGGGGGCAACCCUGAUCCAGCCAUGCCGCGUGAGUGAAGAAGGCCUCGGUUGUAAG
rnacentral:rRNA from 1 species